AUUGAACGCUGGCGGCAGGCCUAACACAUGCAAGUCGAGCGGAUGAAGGGAGCUUGCUCCUGGAUUCAGCGGCGGACGGGUGAGUAAUGCCUAGGAAUCUGCCUGGUAGUGGGGGAUAACGUCCGGAAACGGGCGCUAAUACCGCAUACGUCCUGAGGGAGAAAGUGGGGGAUCUUCGGACCUCACGCUAUCAGAUGAGCCUAGGUCGGAUUAGCUAGUUGGUGGGGUAAAGGCCUACCAAGGCGACGAUCCGUAACUGGUCUGAGAGGAUGAUCAGUCACACUGGAACUGAGAAACGGUCCAGACUCCUACGGGAGGCAGCAGUGGGGAAUAUUGGACAAUGGGCGAAAGCCUGAUCCAGCCAUGCCGCGUGUGUGAAGAAGGUCUUCGGAUUGUAAAGCACUUUAAGUUGGGAGGAAGGGCAGUAAGUUAAUACCUUGCUGUUUGACGUUACCAACAGAAUAAGCACCGGCUAACUUCGUG
rnacentral:rRNA from 1 species